CUCCGGUGUACUCCAGCAGGAGGCGGAUGUGCUGGCCAAGCUGCAAAUGUCCAAUAAUCAGCUGAGGGAGACCUGGGCAGCUGCGGUGGUGCAAAGUGUGGUUGGUGAGCUGCUGUCUGCAGCCUAUAAAAGGGGACAACAGGUCUGUGAACAUAACAGUCCACUGAGACUCCGGCGUGACACCAUCUAUCAGCCUUUCCAUCACCACUGCAAACAAGAAGGAACUUCUGAAGGCAAUCCUGAAUCUCUAACUCCAACCGCACACUUGACCUGACUCUCUCAGUUCUUGGGUUAUGAUAUUUUAAUCAUUGUGAUAAAUUAAAGAAAGAAGCAAGCACCUUGGGCACACUGACUCUAUAUUUUAUUUCUAAUAUUUGCCCACUAGCAGCUCUAAAUACAUUCCCAUAAUGUAGCCUUCUCUUUUUACAUGAUGUGAUAUCUUUACAUAUUUUUGUGCCAUUUCCUGAUGUAAAAACAGGGAAAGUGGAAAAUUAGCUGUUAUUUCCCUCUUUAAUGUUGUUUGGACCCAAGCAGUAACUCUUGACCGUCCUCUAAAAAAUGUUUCAUAGUGCUAUUAGACUACCUGAAGAAGAAAAGCUAUAAAAUAUACUAAACCAUAAAUUGUUUAAUCAGUACACAGGACGGAUAAUCUCCCCAGCAUGUCUUUAAUCGGUACACUGUUUAUGGCACACGUAUCACAUGACCUCAGUCCAAACUCAAGCAGCAAUGCUGUACUCUUCCAUUAAGAGCCCCUAAACAUAAAAAACUAAAAAAAGCACAAAACAAAACGUCAACAUCCAGCCAUCCACCACCUCACAGCUCUUCAUUAUGGUGUCCCUAAGCCUUACAAGAGACAUAAUCUGCCUGCUGUAUCCUUGGUCUGCCCUGGGGUCUCAAAUCAUCUAAUUACCUUAACGAGAAGG